rnacentral:rRNA from 1 species
UACGAAGGGGGCUAGCGUUGCUCGGAAUCACUGGGCGUAAAGGGCGCGUAGGCGGACUUUUAGGUCGGGGGUGAAAGCCCAGGGCUCAACCCUGGAAUUGCCUUCGAUACUGGGAGUCUUGAGUUCGGAAGAGGUUGGUGGAACUGCGAGUGUAGAGGUGAAAUUCGUAGAUAUUCGCAAGAACACCGGUGGCGAAGGCGGCCAACUGGUCCGAUACUGACGCUGAGGCGCGAAAGCGUGGGGAGCAAACAGG